CCCUUAGAUGUUCUGGGCCGCACGCGCGCUACACUGACGGAGGCAGCGAGCGUGUCCUUCGCCGGCAGGUGCGGGCAAUCUUGCGAGUCUCCGUCGUGCUGGGGAUAGAUGGUUGCAAUUGUCGAUCUUGAACGAGGAAUUCCUAGUAAGCGCGAGUCAUCAGCUCGCGCUGAUUACGUCCCUGCCCUUUGUACACACCGCCCGUCGCUACUACAGAGUGCCCGUGUCCAAGAAACGGUCGGACCUGUGCGGCCUCUCCGGGCGACCGGAGGGCCGUUACGGGGAAGACCCUUUAUUUGACGCGGGUCGAUGAAGUAAGAGUCGUAACA
rnacentral:rRNA from 1 species